rnacentral:rRNA from 2 species
AAAUUGAAGAGUUUGAUCAUGGCUCAGAUUGAACGCUGGCGGCAGGCCUAACACAUGCAAGUCGAACGGUAACAGGAAGCAGCUUGCUGCUUCGCUGACGAGUGGCGGACGGGUGAGUAAUGUCUGGGAAACUGCCUGAUGGAGGGGGAUAACUACUGGAAACGGUAGCUAAUACCGCAUAACGUCGCAAGACCAAAGAGGGGGACCUUCGGGCCUCUUGCCAUCGGAUGUGCCCAGAUGGGAUUAGCUAGUAGGUGGGGUAACGGCUCACCUAGGCGACGAUCCCUAGCUGGU